GAUGAACGCUGGCGGCGUGCCUAAUACAUGCAAGUCGAGCGAACAGACGAGGAGCUUGCUCCUCUGACGUUAGCGGCGGACGGGUGAGUAACACGUGGAUAACCUACCUAUAAGACUGGGAUAACUUCGGGAAACCGGAGCUAAUACCGGAUAAUAUAUUGAACCGCAUGGUUCAAUAGUGAAAGACGGUUUUGCUGUCACUUAUAGAUGGAUCCGCGCCGCAUUAGCUAGUUGGUAAGGUAACGGCUUACCAAGGCAACGAUGCGUAGCCGACCUGGAAGGGUGAUCGGCCACACUGGAACUGAGACACGGUCCAGACUCCUACGGGAGGCAGCAGUAGGGAAUCUUCCGCAAUGGGCGAAAGCUUGACGCAGCAACGCCGCGUGAGUGAUGAAGGUCUUCGGAUCGUAAAACUCUGUUAUUAGGGAAGAACAAAUGUGUAAGUAACUAUGCACGUCUUGACGGUACCUAAUCAGAAAGCCACGGCUAACUACGUA
rnacentral:rRNA from 1 species